rnacentral:lncRNA from 1 species
GAAGGUCAUGGAAGAAUGUCACUGCCUCCUGCUCUGAUCUCUCUACUGAACUUCCCAACAGGGCCCGGAGGGCUACCAGGGGCUGGCAUUGGCGGUGUUGGUGGCCUGGUGCCAGGUGGUGUCGGAGGUCUGGUGCCUGGUGUUGGAGGCAUAGGCGGCAUUGGAGGUGUCGGAGGUCAGGCAGCUGCAGCUGCAGCUGCCAAAGCAGCUGCCAAGGCCGCCAAAUACGGACUUGGAGGUGCGGGAGCAGCAGCAGCAGCCAAAGCAGCUGCCAAAGCAGCCAAAUAUGGGCCUGGUGGAAUUGGGCCAGGGGCUGGUGGAGUGCCAGGCAGAGUGCCAGGUGUAGUGCCUGGGGCCGGCGGGCUGCCAGGAGUGACACCUGGGGCUGGUGUAGUACCAGGCCUCGUGCCUGGUGUGGGAGUGCCAGAUGGUGGCAUUUUACCUGGAGUGGGUAAGUGUUCCAGGUCUUGCCUGCUCAGUUCUCUCUGCAUGUGCACAUAAAGUUUGUCCCACAUGAGCAGUGGUGGGUGUGGAGAGAAAGGGUGUCCUGGAGCAGGGAGAAACAGAGCAUCUCCUGAG